AUCCUGAGCCCCUGCUGUGUGCCAAGCUCUCUUCUAGGUCUUGACGUGCAAUGUAAAAAUGAAUGGCAAACUCCUGCCGCCAUAGGCCCUUCUAGGACAGAAGAUGGAAAUCCAAGCCCCUCUGCGGCUGGUUCUGGCAGUGCCCAGGGCUGAGUGAAGCAGCGAAUACUGCAAGGAGCAGGACAGAGCCGAGGGGUGGCCGCUGUGCAGUGGGACGUCGGGAGGUCUCCGAGGAGGUAGUCCUGGGGGCAAUGGGAAUGGCAGAGUCGAACAACCGCCCGGAGUGCUUGGGGGACGCAGAGCUGUCGGGAACAGAUCCUGGAUGGGGUAGAACUGGUGAUGCCCAGGAAGAUGAAUCCCGGAAAGGAGGGAACACCAGCAAUUAUACAAAAUGGAAAAAAAAAGCGACAUUUUCAAGGAAUGGAAAUUCAGCAAUAAUCCGUAUGGCCAGGGCUCCCUUGGAAGCAGCAUGUUUUGGCUCAGCCCCGGCCGAUGCAUCCCAGCCCCGCAAGCUCUCGCACCCGUCCCAGCGCCACCUAGUGAUGGUCUCAGCAGGAGGUACCAGCCCCGGAGCAGAGCUAAGCCAGGCAGCACACACGUGGGUCCUGGCCCCUCCUCUGCAAACAGCUGACAGAAGACAGACUUCCUGUGUCCCAGUGUGGGAGAAAUCCAGGGCACACCGCGGCCUUUGGAGGCACUUGCGCGCAUAGGAGCUGCUUCGCAGAAUCAGAGAGCCGGAGGCAGCGCAGCGGAGGGGAAUGUCUCAACUAACUCCCACACUUUGCAGCCGGGUCUAGAGAAUAAAGCGAUUGGCUCAACGACACACAGAUAAUCAAAGUCAGAGUCAGGGUGGAACCGGGGCCUCCUGACUCAACUACAGUCAUUCCAGCCCCCCUUAACAUCAGCUGAGACAUGUUCUUUUCAUUACAUGUGUGGAACCGUCUGAUUUAAAGUGGCUUGAGUUUAAAGGUGGCAUUGUCGGUUCAUGUAACGGAAACAGCCACAGCCAUAUCAGUGGGACGUGUCCUCCCCCUCUGUCACCAUCACGCCUCCGCGGACCCCAUUCUCAGGUUGCUCUCUGGCGAGAUGUCUCUAGCAGCUGGAGCUUGAGCAUCCUCUUAAGUUCAAGGGCAGAGGAAAUGAGAGCUUCUCUUUCUCCAAACAAUUUCAGACUAAAAUCUUGGGCCUGACUUUCCUGGCCAGAAUUGGAUUUGUCUCUAUUCCUUGAAAAAGCACCAGUUCCACGGCAAGGGAAUGAACCAAUUCAGCAAGGCCUGUCGAGGUCACAGACCCACGCCCCGGCCAGUGGGACCCAGGUGUUUGGGAUAUUUUCAGCAGGGGAAGAAAAAGAGCAUGGACAGUGCCAAAGCAAUAGUGUUCAUUCUAUGAAUGUAAAUAACACUUAUAAAAUAUGGAAGUGACUAACAAUAGUGAAGGGAGUGAAUAAAAAGAUAUCACCUGAUGAAGACAUAUCAAGAUUUUUGCCACAAGUACUCUUCAGCCGUGUCAACAGGAAGGUUUGGUGCAAUCUCAGAACAGCUGUUGAGACCUGCCUCCCUCCCAGCACUGCCCCAGAUUGCAGGCAGCAAUGGGUAUGGGACCUACUACGCGCCCUGUGGCUGUGCUCUCGUCUCUGCAGGAUGUUAACUGAGAG